CCCCUUCUCCCACCUCGCCGCCGCCUCCUCUCCCCUCCCGCGCCCCCCUCGCCCUGCCCGUCCAAGCUCAGGGUCGAGGGGCGCGACCCCUUGCGCGACGAAAACCCUAGCCGCCCCCGUCGCUCCUUGGUCCUUGCAGCCUCAGCCUCAGCCACCGCCGCGCCCCUGUCCCCCUCUCCUCCCCGUUCCUCUCCUGCCGCCGUUCGCCUACUCUGCCCGGUCGUGCUCCCUUCGCCUCCUCCGCCUAGAUGUGCGACUCGAGCCGGCAAGAUCCAGCCAUGGCAGCCAACUCUGCCCUUCCCGAGCCUGACGACGAAGGGGUUGGUGAGCGCGGUGGUGGCCAUGGAUGAACUCGAGCCCGGGCGUGUGGGCGUGUUGGUGGAGCCAUCUAUCUACCCGAGGGAGCUAAUUCGGUAAUGGAAAGACCCGACCGCCGCUCAGGGGCAUUCUGGCAUCUGCCGCCGCCGAUCUAGAUCUAGCUCCAGAUCAGAAGUGGCGGAUGGGAGCCCAUCCGAUCUAUUUUCACUCCGAUGUGCGAGCAGCCGAUGCACCUAAACUCGACCAUGAUUGGAAACGCAGGAAGCAGUACCGUAAUGUGCUUACACAGAGGGCAACACCAAGCAAGAUGAGCUAUAUUGAAUGGUGUAUGUUGAGCUCUAAAGACAAGCACGGCCCUGACACUGGCAGCCGGACAACUCGAGUGUGGCGUCCAUGCUGGCGUGCAGUGGCUUCAAGCGGCUCUUCCCGGCUUCCCACCACCGUCGUCGGCCAAGCGCAUCCGUGCGCUCCUGCCAUGGCGGCACGGCUCCGUCAAGCCCAAUGGGGCAUCCAUCCCUGAGGGCAGCGAGCUGGAGCUGGGCCUGGACAAGGGAUUCAGCUUUUCCAAGCACUUCUUCGCCAAGUACGAGCUCGGCAAGGAGGUCGGAUGUGGCCACUUCGGAUACACCUGCGCCGCCAAGGCCUAGAAGGGCGAGCACAAGGCCAGGACAUCGCUGUCAAGGUCAUCCCCAAGGACAAGUUGUGUGUGCUUCACCUUGGCUUGCCUUUGCUCAAUUUGGUGCACUACUAGAUUAUGAAUCUCUAAACCAGUUGGGGCUUGUGAUUGGUGUUUAUGUUAGUUGGGUGCAGAUAAUGAGAAACAUAGUAAGGUACGAAUGCUACUAAUUUGUUCCUCACAUGCAUAGACAUAAAGAAAGGUGAGGAUCCACAUGUGCGUAUGUUCUAUCAUUUUUCCCUAACAAAAUUUUCAGCAAAUAGCUAGGGUCAAAAAUGCAAAGCAGUUGAACUAGAAAAUUGUGUACCACAUGAGCAGUAUAUAACGAUGGAUUGUUAUCGUGGGUGAAAGCAGUUUAUCACGAUGGCAUUGUUACGAUUUUCCUGCCAAUUAAAUAUGGCCAAGAUGCUUCCUUUCCAUAAUAAAUUUUCUUCCGACCAACUGACUUUAUUUUGUGUAUCUCCUUUUAGUUUGUUGAAUCAGGCUUGCCAACUAAGCAAAACCAAGAUACGAAACCAUGCCAAACAAAAGAGAAACCACUAAAACUUUAUAUAUUUUUGAGCUGUACAGUAGGGUAACUUCCCACUGCUAUUUUUAUUAAAAGCAAGCCAAAACUAUUUUUUGCGAAGUGUACAGGAGGAAUGUAGGUGAAAUUGUAUUUGAUGCAUAUUCCCUUUGUUCUGACUUCUGUUUGAUACAUACUCUAUUUUAGAAAAUAUAUAGGAUAUAGCCAAUAGGGCAAGUUUAUGGUUACAUUUAUCUUUACGAUGCUUAUACGAAGAAUGUAGAGGAAAAUAUAUUUCACAUGGCAUUUCAGUUUCUGAAUUUUCCCUCGACUUUUAUUUUUUUUUCAUAUAUUUUCUUUUUAUAUUGUUUAUAUUGCACAAUGAUAAGGUUUCCUUAUUUCAUAUUUUAAGAUACCAUCUGCUUGGUCAUCUCAUAGGCUCAUAGCUCUUUUUGUUUGUGUUUGAAUAUAUUUUAUGAUUGAAAAUUUGAUGUGGGACUGGGAAAAUCUCAGUUCUAUGUACAUGAUUCUUCUAUUUUUUUCAUGGUGUUGAAUGUCCUCAUAUAUACCCGUUUGUUAUGUUUAUGUCCUAUAAAUAAUGAAAUGGUUUAUAUAGAAAGUUUUUAUGUUUUUGUUAUAGUAUGUUGUCGAUGAUGUGUUUGGUCUGGAACAUGGAGAUUAACAUUAAAAUUUUCGUAUCUUCUAUCUUUAUGCUUUGUUAUUUACUUUAUGCAACCCAGAUUUUCCUAUUUUGCACUGCCACUGGCUUGCUUUCGGUGUCGUAUGACCCAACUCUUUUUGCUGAACUUGACGCGGAUCAAUUGUCCUGUCUUGCUUUUGAAACAUAUUAAAUGUUUCUUCUUUGUCAUGAUCUUGACAAUCAAUUAUCCUAUAGAUACUAAAGUCAUUAGUUCUGAGCGAAUAUUGUAAUUUCCUUUGGAUGUACUAAGCAAUUUAUAGUAUAUUGACAUGUUGGACCAUGGCGCUGGGAUGGGCAGCCUGCCUCAAAGGCGCACUUCCGGUCGACACAUGAUGGUCAGACUUAGCACUGGAGGUGUUAUGAGACAGGCCCGAAUGAUGAUGGCCACAAUAUAAUGUUACUCUGCAGGCUGCCGCGGACUUGGUAAGCAUGAUUCUUCCUCACCUUAUUAUAUUACCAAUCUGUCGCACAUGUGUGUACAUCCUCAGGGUGUCUAUGUGGAGCAUAUAGUACACGAUUGACUAAUAGUAAUUUAGUUUUGACUUCCACCAUACCAGAAUAGUUUUAUGAUUGAACUAUUGCUGGUAUGCUCCUCUUGCUUUUCUAUUGCCUAGCUUUAUUUAGUUUGCAGCAUCAAGGAAUGGUGCAUUCUAAAAUAAGAAAACUGAGGUUGUGAUAACUUUAUUGAAAUGCUUUCAGAUCCAUCUUAAUUUCUUUAAAGGAGUAGCCACUGCCAUUUCAAAGUUGUAUAGUGUUCUCGCUGAAUACUCAUGUCCUUUAAAAGUUUAAGUUUGUCUUAAAAGCUCACCAUGUUCCUUUUAACAAAAUUAAUGCAAUGAUUUGCUAUGUCUGACAAAGGCUGGUCAAUUGGGCAUCGACUGAAACCAGUCAAUUUUUGGCUCUUACUCAUAUAGUUAUUCAUAUGAACUUAUUCAAUUAUGUUUGGCAUGGUCCAUAGGUGAUUAUAUGACCUAUUCCAUUUGCUUUUCCUGUAGGCCAUGGAAGUUAGUGGGGUUUUUGGCUCUUACUGAUAUAGUUAUUCAUAUGAAAAUAAACAUGUGAUGAUUGGGUUUCACGUAUUGGUGAGGAGGGUGCUUGAUUGGUUCAGAACCCUAGCUGGUUCUCAUAUUUAUGUUUGAGGAAUCCGUCGUUUGAGAAUUUGCAAUGGUUGUCGGUUAGGUUCACGACAUGGAGACGUUAACAGUGUUCUCCAUCAAGAUGUUAACUGAACUUCAAAAGAAAUCAGUUGGUUGUUUGUCCAAAAUUAUUUCAAACCUGAGAACUUGGGGUUGCUUAGAGUUAGAUAUUUUGUAAAAGGUUGUCGUGCUGCUAUACUACUGAUGAGUCACAAAGGGUCGAGUUAAUUGCUACAAUACUAACUCUAAUUAGCAUUACUAGCAUAUUUAUCAUUUCCUUAAUUGUUAAUAAUAUAUGUAAUGCUCACUCUGCUUCGACGGUCAAUCCUUGACGCCUGUCACAACAAAGAUCCAGCGCACAACGCAUGGUGGACGUGGACAUUAGAGCUGUUUGCAAUAAGGGAUCUCCAGGCUCGGCAUCAUCGAGGACAAGAAUCUCUGAACCAAAGGAAGAUGACUAUGUAAUACUGAUUCCCCAUUCCCACAUCUUUGCCCUCAUGCUUCAAGCUCUCAAGUUGCCCCCUGCAACUUACCAUCACAAGACAUGUCCGGGUAACGAGUCACAUGAUGGUUACUUUCAAUUCAUCGUUAUAGUUGAUCGAUGGUUUGCUUGUUCCAACCUCGAUAUCUGGUGUGAUCUCAAAGAACUAUGAUGAUGCAGAAGACAGCGCUGCUAUCGCAGCCAUUAGGUUUAUGGAGGAUGCAUGUGGCAAGGAAAUUAGGGAUUAUCACUACUCCCACGUUAAAAGCUGGAAAAUCAAGUCACACACUUGGUAAAGUUGCUGGUUGCAGCAAACAAGACGAUAAAGAAGGUGCGCAGAGGAUGGUACUAUGCUGUCGGAUACAUGAGCUCGUAUUCUACCCAGAUAUAGAAUACGACAGUUGCCCGACACCUAAGAGGGCAGGACAACACCAAAAGGGCUAUGAAAACAGCACUCACAAGCACAGGAAAGUUGGCAAAAAGGCUACAUUAUAUUGGCAUGAAAUCGGAGCAGUGCCUGGACACCAGGGAUAGUAUCUGGUGAGUUCGGUCAGCACAUCGUACCCAACAUGCUUAGGGAGCAUUGCCUUUGCCCUUUUGAUGUUCUUCUAUAUCCUGUUAUGUUUGUAAUGGAAGGUACCACCUGGUAGUAUGUUGCUGUUCUCACUUUGCUUUGAACAAGUCAUGUAUAAACUUUAAGUUUUAGUUCCUAUCUCUGUGUCGUAAACAAUGUUCUUGUGUUCUAUCUCUCAUCGUAUGAAAGCACCGAGCUUGAUUCUGU
rnacentral:rRNA from 1 species